AUUCACUCCCUGCUCCACCAUGGAUGCGCACAUCCUGCAUCAACUCGUGACCACCAGAGCUUCUUGGACACGAUGCUGCCCUUGUACCCCUGCUGGUUCCUGUUUGGGUUUCCUACCUACCCCUUCAGCUGAGUUUCUUCCUGUUCCCUUCCUCCCUGACUGUUCCACCUGCCUGCAGUCUGAUUGCAGCAAUGAGAAUCAGCUGCCGUAAUUGGCUCACCACCAGUCACCUGUUUGCAAUUCCACCUCCCAGCAUAUAAGCCAGCUCUGUCAUUCACUCCCUGCUCCACCAUGAAUGCGCACAUCCUGCAUCAACUCGUGACCACCAGAGCUUCUUGGACACGAUGCUGCCCUUGUACCCCUGCUGGUUCCUGUUUGGGUUUCCUACCUACCCCUUCAGCUGAGUUUCUUCCUAUUCUUUCAGCCCUUCCUCCCUGACUGUUCCACCUGCCUGCAGUCUGAUUGCAGCAAUGAGAAUCAGCUGCCAUAAUUGGCUCACCACCAGUCACCUGUUUGCAAUUCCACCUCCCAGCAUAUAAGCCAGCUCUGUCAUUCACUCCCUGCUCCACCAUGGAUGCGCACAUCCUGCAUCAACUCGUGACCACCAGAGCUUCUUGGACACGAUGCUGCCCUUGUACCCC
ensembl:lncRNA